CAAGGAAUUUUGUGCAAUGGGCGAAAGCCUGACACAGCAACGCCGCGUGAGGGAGGAAGGCCUUCGGGUUGUAAACCUCUUUUCUCAGGGAGGAAUAAUGACAGUACCUGAGGAAUAAGCCACGGCUAACUACGUGCCAGCAGCCGCGGUAAAACGUAGGUGGCGAGCGUUAUCCGGAUUUAUUGGGCGUAAAGAGGGCGCAGGCGGCUUUUCAAGUCGGAUGUAAAAUCUCCCAGCUUAACUGGGAGGGAUCAUUCGAUACUGUUAAGCUUGAGGACAACAGAGGGAGGUAGAAUUCCCGGUGUAGUGGUGAAAUGCGUAGAUAUCGGGAGGAAUACCAGAGGCGAAGGCGGCCUCCUGGGUUGUAGCUGACGCUUAAGCCCGAAGGCGUGGGGAGCGAACAGG
rnacentral:rRNA from 1 species